GGUUAAGCGACUAAGCGUACACGGUGGAUGCCCUGGCAGUCAGAGGCGAUGAAGGACGUGCUAAUCUGCGAUAAGCGUCGGUAAGGUGAUAUGAACCGUUGUAACCGGCGAUUUCCGAAUGGGGAAACCCAGUGUGAUUCGUCACACUAUCAUUAACUGAAUCCAUAGGUUAAUGAGGCGAACCGGGGGAACUGAAACAUCUAAGUACCCCGAGGAAAAGAAAUCAACCGAGAUUCCCCCAGUAGCGGCGAGCGAACGGGGAGCAGCCCAGAGCCUGAAUCAGUGUGUGUGUUAGUGGAAGCGUCUGGAAAGGCGCGCGAUACAGGGUGACAGCCCCGUACACAAAAAUGCACAUAUUGUGAGCUCGAUGAGUAGGGCGGGACACGUGGUAUCCUGUCUG
rnacentral:rRNA from 1 species